GCGGAUGUGGUGGAAUUGGUAGACACGCACGCUUGAGGGGCGUGUGACGCAAGUCUUGCGAGUUCGAGUCUCGCCAUCCGCA
rnacentral:tRNA from 3 species